UACGUAGGAUGCAAGCGUUGUCCGGAAUUAUUGGGCGUAAAGAGCGCGCAGGCGGUUUUACAAGUCAGAUGUGAAAGAGGUCGGCUUAACCGACAAGGGUCAUUUGAAACUGUGAGACUAGAGUACAGCAGAGGAUAGCGGAAUUCCCGGUGUAGUGGUGAAAUGCGUAGAUAUCGGGAGGAACACCAGUGGCGAAGGCGGCUAUCUGGGCUGAAACUGACGCUGAGGCGCGAAAGCGUGGGGAGCAAACAGG
rnacentral:rRNA from 1 species